rnacentral:rRNA from 1 species
AUGAGUGCGCUCGAGCAAACAAUUAGGAAAUUUGCGGAGGAACCAUCGAGAAGUCUGAUCAAACUUGAGCUGGGACUAAGCUCCGAAUCCCUCGGAGAGGCGUACGACUUCUACAACUUGUACUCGUUGGAAGUUGGAUUCGGCAUAAGAUAUGGUAAAAGUAGGUUGAAUGCUGUGAGGAUGAAAUCAAUGCAGGAAAUUGUCUGUGGAUGCCCGCCUGAAGCAGAGAACAGUUGGACUUGUCAAUGUGAGUGCCCGGCACUGAUCAGACUCUUGAGGGCUGCAGACAGCCAGACACCACUCAGUGUCUCCUACCAUGGGGGGAGAGAGUGCACUGGCAAUCGCAGAAGCACAUAG